UAUCGGAUAACGCAUAUGUGCUGGAAUGCUUUAUGCGUAAAACGGAUUCGUCCGCCCAAGGAUGGGUCUGCGGCCUAUCAGGUAGUAGUGGGUGUAAUGUACCUACUAGCCAACAACGGGUACGGGUUGUGAGAGCAAGAGCCCGGAGAUGGAUUCUGAGACAUGAAUCCAGGCCCUACGGGGCGCAGCAGGCGCGAAAACUUUACAAUGCGGGAAACCGUGAUAAGGGAACACCGAGUGCCAGCAUCAUAUGCUGGCUGUCCAGAUGUGUAAACUACAUCUGUUAGCAAGGGCCGGGCAAGACCGGUGCCAGCCGCCGCGGUAACACCGGCGGCCCGAGUGGUGACCGUUAUUAUUGGGUCUAAAGGGUCCGUAGCCGGUUUGGUCAGUCCUCCGGGAAAUCUGAUAGCUUAACUGUUAGGCUUUCGGGGGAUACUGCCAGGCUUGGAACCGGGAGAGGUAAGAGGUACUACAGGGGUAGGAGUGAAAUCUUGUAAUCCCUGUGAGACCACCUGUGGCGAAGGCGUCUUACCAGAACGGGUUCGACGGUGAGGGACGAAAGCUGGGGGCACGAACCGGAUUAGAUACCCGGGUAGUCCCAGCCGUAAACUAUGCUCGCUAGGUGU
rnacentral:rRNA from 1 species